rfam:Ajellomyces capsulatus G186AR mitochondrial scaffold supercont1.87, whole genome shotgun sequence.
GAGAUUAUUACGGAUAUCUGGCUAUAUAUUAAAGAUAGAUAUGAAAAAUUAAUAUCUAAUAUAAAUUUAAUAAUAAACAAAGUGAAUUGAAAUAUCUUAAUAACUUUAGGAAAAGAAAUCAAACGAGAUUUUAUUAUUAGUGUAUACUAAUAUAAAAAAGCUUAUAAGUAAAAUGGAAAAUAUCUGUUUGAAUAAAGGGGAACCUUCCUCUAAAGCUAAAUAUAAUAUAUAAGCGAUAGCGAAUAGUACCGUGAGGUAUAGAUAGAAAUAGUAAUUUUAUAAGCAGCUCAAAAAAAAUUUUAAAUAAAUAAUACGAGCGGACCUUUUGCAUAAUGGGUCAGCAAGUUAAACUUAGAUGCAAGCAAAUAAAAAUUAUUUGCCUAGAUAAACCAAUUAUGAGAAAAUGAUAAGUAUCUAAAUUUAGACCCGAAGCUAGUGAUCUUACCAUGAUCAGGCUUAAGGCCGAACGGUUAUCGUUGUAGAGAUAUCCGAUGAAUUGUGGUAAGUUGGUGAAAGACAAAACUGACUAGUAUAGCUGGUUUUCCGCGAAACCUAUGUGAGUAGGUAAUUUAAUUAACAUCUUAGCAGGUACAGAACUAGGAUCUCGGACAAUAUGUAAAUUUUGUACACAUCGGGGGAUCGUGAAGAUUUUAUCGGAGAGUAUUUGCACUCGAAAGGGCAAAGAUGAGUAUUGAAUAAUCGGACAUAGUACGAUAAGGUUGUAUGUCUAAAGGGAAACAGCCCUGAACAAGAGUUAUAAGGUUCCAAAAUUAUUAUUGAGUGAAAUUAAGGAUGUACUUAUCAAAUACAACCAGGAAAUAGGCUUAGAAGCGGCCAUUUUUUGAAGACCUCGUAACAGAGCACUGGUUAAUAAAAUUUCAUUUAGAUAGAUAUGUAUACCGAAAAUUUAACGGAUCUAAAUAAUAUACCGAAACCUUGUUCGUAUAUAUUAAUAUAUAAUAUUAUUUGUUUAAAUAUAUAUAUAUAUAUGAGGUAGCGGAACACUGGAUAAAUAUUAGAUUUUGUCUUUUUUAAGACAAAAAAUUAUAUAAGAAUCCAAGAGAGAAUGCUGGCAUGAGUAACGAAAAAGGAUUUAACAUCCUCGCCUUAAGCUUAUGGUAUUUUAUUUAAAUUUCGGUAUCUAAGUAGGAAGUAAAAUAAGUAAAAUGGUAAAUUGUUUGAAAAAAAACUUCUCCAAAUGGAUUCAAAUACGAUGAUAUAAAUAGAUUAGAGAAAAAACUUUUAUAAAGUGUUAAAGGUUCUGGAAAUUAAAUUUAAUCAAAUAAGCAAUUUUAAUUGCUCGGCGAAAUCCGAAACUAUAUAGACCGUACCUAAAUACUAACACAAGUAAGCAAGUAGAGUAUACAAAGGCGUUUGAGUGAAUAAUCAUUAAGGAACUCGGCAAAUUGACUCCGUAACUUCGGGAUAAGGAGGGCCGUUAUUACAGAAAAAUAUUUCUGUUAAAUAAGAGGAAACAUGAAAUAAUGUUGUACGACUGUUUAAUUAAAACAAAUCACUCUGCAAAGAUUAAAAAUCAAAGUAUUGAGUGUGAUGUCUGCCCAAUGUCGGUUGUAUAACUGAGAUACUUAAUUUAAAAGGUUAGGUUUUGAAGGACACUCCGAUCAAUGGCGGCCUUAUCUAUAAGGGUCCUAAGGUAGCGGAAUACCCUGGCCGUUAAAUGCGGUCUUGCAUGAAUGACUUAACGAUACAACAGCUGUCUCGAUGAUUAGCUCAGUGAAAUUG